GUUAUAUGGUCAAGCGAAUAAGCGCACACGGUGGAUGCCUUGGCGGUCAGAGGCGAUGAAGGACGUGGCAGCCUGCGAAAAGUAUCGGGGAGCUGGCAACAAGCUUUGAUCCGGUAAUGUCCGAAUGGGGAAACCCACCCGCUUGCGGGUAUCCUGCAGUGAAUACAUAGCUGCUGGAAGCGAACCUGGUGAACUGAAAUAUCUAAGUAACCAGAGGAAAAGAAAUCAACCGAGAUUCCGUAAGUAGCGACGAGCGAACGCGGACUAGCCCUUAAGCUGAUUUGGUUCUAGGAAAACGCUCUGGAAAGAGCGGCCAUAGAAGGUGAUAGCCCUGUAUCUGAAAGGGCCAUUUCAGUGAAGACGAGUAGGGCGGGGCACGUGAAACCCUGUCUGAACAUGGGGGGACCAUCCUCCAAGGCUAAAUACUACUGACCGACCGAUAGUGAACCAGUACCGUGAGGGAAAGGCGAAAAGAACCCCGGAGAGGGGAGUGAAAUAGAUCCUGAAACCGUGUGCGUACAAGCAGUAGGAGCUCCGCAAGGAGUGACUGCGUACCUUUUGUAUAAUGGGUCAGCGACUUACUGUUCGUGGCAAGCUUAACCGUAUAGGGGAGGCGAAGGGAAACCGAGUCUGAUAAGGGCGCAUAGUCGCGGGCAGUAGACCCGAAACCGGGUGAUCUAGUCAUGGCCAGGGUGAAGGUGCCGUAACAGGUACUGGAGGCCCGAACCCACGUCUGUUGCAAAAGACGGGGAUGAGCUGUGAUUAGGAGUGAAAAGCUAAUCGAACCCGGAGAUAGCUGGUUCUCCUCGAAAGCUAUUUAGGUAGCGCCUCAUAUGUAUCCUCUCGGGGGUAGAGCACUGUUAUGGCUAGGGGGUCAUCGCGACUUACCAAACCAUUGCAAACUCCGAAUACCGAGACGGACUGUAUGGGAGACACACGGCGGGUGCUAACGUCCGUCGUGAAAAGGGAAACAACCCAGACCCACAGCUAAGGUCCCAAAUUCACUGCUAAGUGGAAAACCAUGUGGAAAGGCACAGACAGCCAGGAGGUUGGCUUAGAAGCAGCCACCCUUUAAAGAAAGCGUAAUAGCUCACUGGUCGAGUCGGUCUGCGGGGAAGAUUUAACGGGGCUAAGCAGUGAACCGAAGCUUGGGGUGUGCAUAUUUAUAUGUACGCGGUAGAGGAGCGUUCCGUAAGCCGUUGAAGGUGGAUUGAGAAGUCUGCUGGAGGUAUCGGAAGUGCGAAUGCUGACAUGAGUAACGAUAAUGCGGGUGAAAAACCCGCACGCCGAAAGCCCAAGGUUUCCUUGCGCAACGUUAAUCGGCGCAGGGUGAGUCGGCCCCUAAGGCGAGGACGAAAGUCGUAGUCGAUGGGAAGCAGGUUAAUAUUCCUGCACCUCGCGUAAGUGCGAUGGAGGGACGGAGAAGGUUAGGUGUACCAGGCGUUGGUUGUCCUGGGGAAAGGCGGUAGGUUUGGAUCUUUGGCAAAUCCGGGAUCCUUUAAGACCGAGCACCGAGACGAGCCUUUAUGGCGAAGUCACUGAUACCACGCUUCCAGGAAAAGCUCCUAAGCUUCAGCUUACGCAGACCGUACCGUAAACCGACACAGGUGGGUAGGAUGAGAAUUCUCAGGCGCUUGAGAGAACUCGGGUGAAGGAACUAGGCAACAUGGCACCGUAACUUCGGGAGAAGGUGCACCCUUUUUGGUGGCUCGUGCGAGCUAUAGCUGAAGAGGGUCGCAGUAACCAGGCCGCUGCGACUGUUUAUCAAAAACACAGCACUCUGCAAACACGAAAGUGGACGUAUAGGGUGUGACGCCUGCCCGGUGCUGGAAGGUUAAUUGAUGGGGUCAGCCGCAAGGCGAAGCUCUUGAUCGAAGCCCCAGUAAACGGCGGCCGUAACUAUAACGGUCCUAAGGUAGCGAAAUUCCUUGUCGGGUAAGUUCCGACCUGCACGAAUGGCGUAACGACAGCGGCGCUGUCUCCACCCGAGACUCAGUGAAAUUGAAAUCGCUGUGAAGAUGCAGCGUUCCCGUGGCAAGACGGAAAGACCCCGUGAACCUUUACUAUAGCUUUACACUGAACGUUGAGUUCGUCUGUGUAGGAUAGGUGGGAGGCUAUGAAACCAUGGCGCUAGCUGUGGCGGAGCCAUCCUUGAAAUACCACCCUGUCGUGCUUGACGUUCUAACCUGGGCCCAUUAUCUGGGUCGGGGACCGUGUAUGGUGGGUAGUUUGACUGGGGCGGUCUCCUCCUAAAGAGUAACGGAGGAGCUCGAAGGUACGCUCAGCGCGGUCGGACAUCGCGCACUGUGUGCAAAGGCAUAAGCGUGCUUGACUGCAAGAUCGACGGAUCAAGCAGGUAGGAAACUAGGACUUAGUGAUCCGGUGGUUCUGUAUGGAAGGGCCAUCGCUCAACGGAUAAAAGGUACUCCGGGGAUAACAGGCUGAUACCGCCCAAGAGUUCAUAUCGACGGCGGUGUUUGGCACCUCGAUGUCGGCUCAUCACAUCCUGGGGCUGUAGUCGGUCCCAAGGGUAUGGCUGUUCGCCAUUUAAAGUGGUACGCGAGCUGGGUUCAGAACGUCGUGAGACAGUUCGGUCCCUAUCUGCCAUGGGCGUUGGAGAUUUGAGAGGGGCUGCUCCUAGUACGAGAGGACCGGAGUGGACGAACCUCUGGUGUUCCGGUUGUCACGCCAGUGGCAUUGCCGGGUAGCUAUGUUCGGAAGCGAUAACCGCUGAAAGCAUCUAAGCGGGAAGCGCGCCUCAAGAUGAGAUCUCCCGGGGCACAAGCCCCCUGAAGGAACCAUAUAGACUAUGUGGUUGAUAGGUCAGGUGUGUAAGUACAGCAAUGUAUUGAGCUAACUGAUACUAAUGAUCCGUGUGGCUUGACCAUAUAACCU
rnacentral:rRNA from 1 species